CCCCCACCCAUGUGUGUAGGACCCCAAAGGAUCACCAUUAAAUUUGGCAUGGAUCUCUGGAAAAGUUAUCACAUGGGUGUGGGACUCGACAUUUUUAGAGAUCCGUGCCAAAUUUAAUGGUGAUCCUUUGGGGUCCUACAUACAUGGGUGGGGG
rfam:Amborella trichopoda AMTR_V1.0_contig_16806, whole genome shotgun sequence.